AGCUCACUGCUACAGUGGGAUUGUGUGUACAUCUAUGUGUACAGUAAUACAAAUAUCAGUAGCUCGGAGUGAAAAUGGAAAUAAUUAUAAAGAAAAUCUAAAACCUUGAGCCGCUUGUUUCAAGACAUCACUAGUGGAUCGUCAUAGCUGAAACAGCCGCAAGACAAAGCUGCUGUGUGAUGCGACAUGGCAUGCAUACUGUUCCGGCCCGGGUGAGAUUUGCAAUGCACAGCCUUCCGGGCAUGGCUGCACAGAUCCAGAGAGUAGCAUCUCUGUUCACUGAUGGGACCCAAAUGAGUGACUGAUCCAGAAGGGAAGCCGGACCCUGACCAACUCCUGACUUGGGGAAAUUACUGUGACCUCUCUACACUUCGGGGAGGAAGCCAAACUUGGCACAUACGGACCUGGGCGCUAUGUUUGCCAUCACUGACCCCAAAGACCUUUGUUAGGUCCACCUCCUUCAGCCAAUUAUUCAAACACACACACUCAGCUCCUGCUGAAUGGAUUAGGUUACCCCCUCACAAGCGAUGUCUACCUCCAUUUUGCAUUCACUCACCAUUUGCAUCAUGGGAGAAGAGGAAUGCCCCAGUCAUUAACACCAGAAGGCUUCCCGUACAAAAGGUCUGCAUUCAUGAGUCAUCCUGGAGACCAGAUGUUCUCAUGAAGUGUGAAUACGCGUGUAUUUGCUGGAUGGAGAGACAUUUUAGGUGUUGGGGCACAACGGCUCAGGCCAUGUGUGUGCCUGGGCCCCCAGGGCCUUCAUGGUGCACAGGUCACCAUGGAAAAGUGGAGGUGGGAGGAUCAUGCACACUCCUACAUGCACUUGGGAAAACAUGUACGUGCAUUUAACAUUUCAUUUGAUGAAUGUGAACCUUCCAACAAGGCCUUUCUCUGUAUAUUUUUGGUCAUAUUCAAGUUAAGAAAAUAUACCAAUUGGGGCAUGUCCACAUGAACAUGAGUGCUGGUUUUCCGCCAAUCGUGUGUCAUUAUCACAUUUUUAAAUCCAGCUCAAUUCUGUAGUUCAUUUACAUUAUGUAUUUAUAUCACAUAUUACAUGAUAUAUGAUAUAAUAUAUUGUUUAUGUAAGGCCAAUGACAUUGCCUUAUGUAAGGCGCUUUUGCUUGAGCUGAUUUUAACCAUACUUGAUGGACAUUUAGCGUCUCUCACUGCGCUCAGGAACGGAGGCAUCAAAAUGCACAACCAAGGCAGUUGUUAUAAAAUUCAUAUGGAUAAGAGAUUUACAACAUAAAAUAUUGUUAAAAUGCUGUUCGGUCAGGACUGCAUUUUAGUUUAAAAGGCAGAGUGGGAAAUAUAUAUUUCAUGGCUUGUCAUGCUUUAAAUAAUUUGAAAAGUAGGUAUGUUCAAUACCACGCUUUAUCAGACCGAUAACAGUACGUGCAUUCACUCUAGAGUUCUCACCAAUACCGAGUGCCGAUACCACUAGGACUUUUGAUUAAUAAAUAUUUAUUAACACAAUGACAGGUAGUUGUUAACAAAUACCUUUCUUUCUUUUUUGACACAGAUGAUAAUUUGCUGUGGUGUCAAAAUGCCGGAGUGUAGCCCUAGCUACUGGUGAGGAGGACUUACUCGACGUCAGAUGUUUUUGUCUUAAAUAUUGGCGGCUGGUAUCAGCAGCCUUCACGAGUACCCGAUACCAUGAAAUUAAAUCAGCCCGAAACAGAUACCUGAUAUCCGCACUCGCUCAUCCCUAUUGAAAAGAAUGCUUUUUUUUUUUUUAACUGAUAAUGGAAAUUCAUAGUCAAAUGGUAUUUAGUUCUAUUGUCAUCAUUACAUAACACAUUUUAAUUUGCC